UCACAAGUUUUAAGGCUUCUGUUAACCAGAAAGUUCAAACUAACAGAGAAGUAUUGAGAAACUUAAAAUCCUUUGACUUGUUAUUUGUACAAUAUAUGAUGUAUAUGAUGGUGUUUUUUCAUACAAAAGAGACAUACGAUGCUACUCUGCUUGUUCUGGCCAUGGGCUGCUGCACUCCUCCUCUGUUGUUUUCUGGAUUGUACUCAGCUGCAUGCCUUCGUCCACCAGGCCUCCGUUGACUCGUCCCGCCUGCCGUCUCUGGAGCUGAAGCUGGAUUGGAACAGACCAAAGUACAGUCCAAUCACGAUGCCAGCUGCCUCUCAAAAGGCUCCUUCAUCUGGCAGGUGGCGGCACUUCUUCUGAGGGGAAGCUGAGCUGGCCUGGCAGAACUUUGGAGAUGUGUUCCAGUGGUUGGUGGAUGUGUGGGGAGAUAGAGAGAGGGACCUUUGAAUUGUUCACAAAGAAAAAAAGAGAACCCAUUGGUAGUUUUAGUUUAGGGUGCUACUGCAGUGCGUUUUUGGGUUUAAGAGGUGAACAGGAAGAGUUUUUUUUCCUAUUGAUUAUCUUUAACUUUGUUCCUGGUUGGAAUGCCCAUCAAUGUCAACGUGAAGUUCACUUGAGUUCUGUUUAUUUAUUUUUAUUUUACUAACACCCAUUUGCUUUUAACCCCCUCACAUGUUGUGUCAGGGGUGGACUGGCCAUCUGGCGUACCGGGUGAUGCCCGGUGGGCCGACGCACAUUUUUGGGCCGGCCCAGGGGGUGUCAUAAUUUAGCCAAGAAAGUAUAUUAUAAAUCCUUUUUGUCGAUUGUGACGGCCCAUUGGUUGAUUUUCUUGAAGGACAUUGGACUAAUCCAAUGAAAUCUCUCAGCCCUCCUCGGCCCGCCCCUCCCCGGCCUCUUGACCAAAGUCAUCAAAUUUUGCCGUUUGAGUUGGCCGGAAGUGGAGAGGAGCAAAGAUGGAGAAACGGCCCAAACGAAAGGGGGGCGCUGAAAAAUUGCGCGAAAAAAGGCUUAAAAGCCUGCAAGUCGAUGCAGCAAAAUGCAGCAAAAUAAGUGACAUGUUUGCCGUUGCUUCCACUACUUCACCUGCAGCAGCGAGUGCUGCUGCCAUGAUAGAAAAAGAAGCCGAAGUUCAGGGGGAGUCGGAGGAAAAGGAGCAGGAGGAGGAGGACGGUAACGGGCUAACAGGAGCUAAUCUGACCUCCUCGAUCUGUCCCUGCUGUGUUACGUCUCUCCCUCCGUCCUCCUCCUCCUUCUCCUCCUGCUCCUUUUCCUCCGACUCCCCCUGAACUUCGGCUUCUUUUUCUAUCCUGGCAGUUGCUACAUAUUCGUUCUUGAGGAUUAUCGGAUGGCUAAUUUUCUUCACGGCUAAUCUGUCCCCCAGGGAUGUUCCAGGGAUGUGCCUUUCAUUGGUGUGGACUUCACAGGCAUUCUUCACAUUUGGCAUAUUUGGAGUGAAGGUCUACCUUUCCCUGAUGUGGAGUUUACAUGUUUUCCUUUUCUAUCAUUGUGAGUUUACUAAACAGUUCUUAUUUUAAUAAUAUUUAAUUCCAGUUUUAAUUAGAAGAGACAGUAUCAGAUGAAUCUAGCAUAUCUGACGUCACCUCUGCUUUCUGUCUUCAUCAGAGCAGCAAGGUCCAUGCAGCCUUUUGUCUCAGCAUAUAUAGGUACAAAAUAUUAUCUCUCUGUUCACCUAAACAUUAUUAAAACUAUACCUUAACUGAUUCCAGCUCUCUUUCUUUUCUUUAUCAUCUAUGCAUCUCUCUCUCUAUCUUUCUCUCUCUCAAUCUCUCUCUUCAUACUUUAAGGUUCCAUUUUGGUGAAGAGCUCCACUUUUAAUUCAAGUUGGUAAUUUUGACACUUUGAAAUAAAAUUUUAAAUAAAGUCUCUGUGAGAAGUGAUAGAGUGUAUCUUUUUUUUUAAACAUGGUUACUCUCUUCCACGUAGGCUGCUGCGUUUUAUUUUAAUUUUUGAAACUAUACAAUGUGCACAUAUAUCCUCUGGUAUGUCGUAUGCCUUGGCAUAUUGUAUAAAUAAUCAUGGUGGGCCACCAUGACCAAAAAUGCCAGGGCCGUAUUUUGGUCCCAGUCCAGCCCUGUGUUGUGUUGUUGUAAACUUAUUCUUUCAAAUAAAUACUCGUCUAACCCCCUGGAAACCAGCGUUUGUCCUGCUUUUGUGUUGCUCCUCUGCGACCCGAGACAGCCGGGUCGUAAUGUUUUUUGAGCAACACACCAUACUAUGAUGUUUUUACAAUGAGGGUUCUACUAUGGAACCAGUUUGACAUGUUCAGGUGUUCUUUGUGUGAAAACUCAGAGAUUUCAGGUAACAGAAGGUGGUUUUCAACUUUCUUUGUUUACUUUCUGCUUCAACUUUAAAUUAAAUUUCCUUCACUAAGCCAGCCCUCUGGACUUCCAGGAAGCUGUGUUCCUAUUGGCUGUCCAGGUGGCUGCUUGGUGUUAUCAGGAACACCUGAGCAGCUCAGUGUCUUCCGCUUUAUUUAGCUGCAGACAAACAUUUCCUCUGCUUCUCUUCACCACCGAACCGGGUUUGGCUCUGUUGCUUUAGUAUGUUCUUUAGGCGUUGGCUUGCAGCUUCCAGCAGUAAAAUCGUCUAGAAUGUGUUUCUUGGUGUGUUUUAGGGCUUUGUACCAGAUAGUUGUCUUGGUACAUGUGGUUCUUUAGCCACAGUUAGCACAUGGUGCUAAUGUCUGCAGUGAUUAGUGGAUUUAGUGCAGCUGAGUUGUGUCUUUAUCUUGGCUGUAGUGAGUCUUUAGAGGUUUUUGGUCAGACACACACACAUUGGUUGUCCAGAAGGUAAGAGUUCCUGUCCUGAUUCUCUGUUCUCAGAGGUUCUCUGGUAGGCUGCAGGAGACUUCAGCGUUUGGGUUGUGUUAGUUUGGUUUUUGUAUGGUUUCAUUUGGACGACUAUCUUGAGGCCCCUCCAUGUGGUUUAGUGAGGUUUUCUGGAACAGUUCUACAUAGCAACCUGCAGCAGAAGAGACUUUGAGAGUUUUUAGGAAGUUCUGGAGACCAGACUUUAGAGCAGCAGAAACAUUUGUCAGCAGUUUGAGCAGGAGAAGGUGAGCUUCAGAGUAGAAAUGAGGAGAAGGAAACCUUCUUGACCCGUGUGGUGAGGUCCUGUACCAAGAGUUUGAGCAGGUUGUGAAGAGUCUGUAGUUCUUUGGUCUGAAAGCACAAGAAGAGUCGACUCAUUAAAGGAGAAAACAGGAGAUAUUGUUGGUUCUUCUGUCGCUCUGCAGUUUCCAGUUUCCUUAGACUGAAUAUCAAGUUUAUAUUUUAAAUGAUUUACCAUGUGAGCCCAAAAAGACUUCAAUAAACUCCCUCCAUCCCCUGGACACAACACAUUUUAUUACCAUGUUAAAUCUUUUUUUAAAAAAUGUUACUGAGUUUUAAUCAUAGUCUUAGCGUAGUUUUUUCUCUUUGCUUGUUUAGUUUUGUCAUUUGUGUGAAAGGUGUUAAACAAAUAAAGUUGAGUUGAUAAACUGAAUAAUUGACUAACUCAUGAUUGUGACAACAGAAGUAUUUUCAUUGUGAUUUAAGGGUU